rnacentral:rRNA from 1 species
GAUGAACGCUGGCGGCGUGCCUAAUACAUGCAAGUCGAGCGAACGGACGAGAAGCUUGCUUCUCUGAUGUUAGCGGCGGACGGGUGAGUGACACGUGGAUAACCUACCUAUAAGACUGGGAUAACUUCGGGAAACCGGAGCUAAUACCGGAUAAUAUUUUGAACCGCAUGGUUCAAAAGUGAAAGACGGUCUUGCUGUCACUUAUAGAUGGAUCCGCGCUGCAUUAGCUAGUUGGUAAGGUAACGGCUUACCAAGGCAACGAUGCAUAGCCGACCUGAGAGGGUGAUCGGCCACACUGGAACUGAGACACGGUCCAGACUCCUACGGGAGGCAGCAGUAGGGAAUCUUCCGCAAUGGGCGAAAGCCUGACGGAGCAACGCCGCGUGAGUGAUGAAGGUCUUCGGAUCGUAAAACUCUGUUAUUAGGGAAGAACAUAUGUGUAAGUAACUGUGCACAUCUUGACGGUACCUAAUCAGAAAGCCACGGCUAACUACGUGCCAGCAGCCGCGGUAAUACGUAGGUGGCAAGCGUUAUCCGGAAUUAUUGGGCGUAAAGCGCGCGUAGGCGGUUUUUUAAGUCUGAUGUGAAAGCCCACGGCUCAACCGUGGAGGGUCAUUGGAAACUGGAAAACUUGAGUGCAGAAGAGGAAAGUGGAAUUCCAUGUGUAGCGGUGAAAUGCGCAGAGAUAUGGAGGAACACCAGUGGCGAAGGCGACUUUCUGGUCUGUAACUGACGCUGAUGUGCGAAAGCGUGGGGAUCAAACAGGAUUAGAUACCCUGGUAGUCCACGCCGUAAACGAUGGGUGCUAAGUGUUAGGGGGUUUCCGCCCCUUAGUGCUGCAGCUAACGCAUUAAGCACUCCGCCUGGGGAGUACGACCGCAAGGUUGAAACUCAAAGGAAUUGACGGGGACCCGCACAAGCGGUGGAGCAUGUGGUUUAAUUCGAAGCAACGCGAAGAACCUUACCAAAUCUUGACAUCCUUUGACAACUCUAGAGAUAGAGCUUUCCCCUUCGGGGGACAAAGUGACAGGUGGUGCAUGGUUGUCGUCAGCUCGUGUCGUGAGAUGUUGGGUUAAGUCCCGCAACGAGCGCAACCCUUAAGCUUAGUUGCCAUCAUUAAGUUGGGCACUCUAAGUUGACUGCCGGUGACAAACCGGAGGAAGGUGGGGAUGACGUCAAAUCAUCAUGCCCCUUAUGAUUUGGGCUACACACGUGCUACAAUGGACAAUACAAAGGGCAGCGAAACCGCGAGGUCAAGCAAAUCCCAUAAAGUUGUUCUCAGUUCGGAUUGUAGUCUGCAACUCGACUACAUGAAGCUGGAAUCGCUAGUAAUCGUAGAUCAGCAUGCUACGGUGAAUACGUUCCCGGGUCU